rnacentral:rRNA from 1 species
AAUUUUCGUCAAUGGGGGGAACCCUGAACGAGCAAUGCCGCGUGAGUGAAGAAGGCCUUCGGGUCGUAAAGCUCUGUUGCAGGGGACAAAGGCACCUUUCAGGAAAUGGGAAGGGGUCGGAUGGUACCCUGCCAGAAAGUCACGGCUCACUCAGUGCAAACAGCCGCGGUAAUACGUAGGUGGCAAGCGUUAUCCGGAAUGAUGGGGCGUAAAGGGUGCGCAGGCGGCCUUUUAAGUCCGGCAGUGAAAGAUACAGGCUCAACCUGUAUUGGCGCCGGAUACUGGAAGGCUGGAGGCUGAAAGAGGGCGGCGGAACUCCAUGUGUAGCGGUAAAAUGCGUAGAUAUAUGGAAGAACACCGGUGGCGAAGGCGGCCGCCUGGAUCAGACCUGACGCUGAGGCACGAAAGCGUGGGGAGCAAAUAGG